AGAGCUCAAGAUGCUGAAUCCUGGGAGAUGAAUCAGCAGAUGAAGUUCAGGUCACUGUCUCUGGACCGCAGCAGUCCAUCCCCUUGGACCGACCUCCUGGCUCAGCCUCAAAAACAAGGAGCUGGCCAACUACUGCAGUCUGCUGCAAGAGCAUUACCACCAGAGCUACGUCAAAGGAGUGUACCGCAGCCUGCAGCAGUGCUACAGCAUCAGCUCGCAGGAUGUCCUCAUGGCCAUGGACUACUGUGAAGAAUCCCUGCAGGAGAUCGACGUCACCACCUUUCUGCAGACCCUUUGUGGACACAUCAGAGUGUUCAGGGAAGAUGGCGAAGCUCGCAGAUGGGAACGGAAACCAAAACCUUCAAGGAACCCUGCCACCUUUAUUAUAGGAGAGGUUGAGGAGGACCGAGCAGAUGACAGGGCUGCCAUGGUCUCCUCGUCCAGUAUUGAAAUGGACGAUGCCAGUGAAGCUGAAUCUAGAGG